AUUUCACUAAUCAUUAUAUUUUCUCCUGUAAUCAUCAUCUCAUCUAUUAUUUUUACCCGUCUAUUACACCCUCUCGCUAUAGGACUUAUACUACUUUUCCAAACCAUCAUAAUCUGCGUUACAGCUGGUCUUUCAAUAAAUUCUUUCUGAUUUUCUUAUAUUCUUUUUCUAAUUUUUUUAGGAGCUAUAUUAGUUUUAUUUAUCUAUGUUGCUUCUUUAGCUUCAAAUGAAUCAUUCAGAUUUUCUGGGUCAUUAUCGUUUAUUGUACUAUUAAUCCUUCUCACUAGCUUAGCCCUUAUAUUUUUAGAUCCUCUAAUGCUCUCUAGCUCAAUAUCAAUCCAGCAAUCUUCACUAUGUAAUACUCAAUUUUCUUCUACUCCUAUACUAUUAAGUACCAUUUAUAAUUAUACUACUAUAAACCUUACUCUAUUUAUUGUGCUCUACUUACUUCUAACAUUAAUUGCAGUUGUAAAAAUUACUAACACUUUUUUUGGUCCUUUACGCUUAUCAUCUUAA
rnacentral:misc_RNA from 1 species